rnacentral:rRNA from 1 species
GAUGAACGCUGGCGGCGUGCCUAAUACAUGCAAGUCGAGCGAACGGACGAGAAGCUUGCUUUUCUGAUGUUAGCGGCGGACGGGUGAGUAACACGUGGAUAACCUACCUAUAAGACUGGGAUAACUUCGGGAAACCGGAGCUAAUACCGGAUAAUAUUUUGAACCGCAUGGUUCAAAAGUGAAAGACGGUCUUGCUGUCACUUAUAGAUGGAUCCGCGCUGCAUUGGCUAGUUGGUAAGGUAACGGCUUACCAAGGCAACGAUGCAUAGCCGACCUGAGAGGGUGAUCGGCCACACUGGAACUGAGACACGGUCCAGACUCCUACGGGAGGCAGCAGUAGGGAAUCUUCCGCAAUGGGCGAAAGCCUGACGGAGCAACGCCGCGUGAGUGAUGAAGGUCUUCGGAUCGUAAAACUCUGUUAUUAGGGAAGAACAUAUGUCUAAGUAACUGUGCACAUCUUGACGGUACCUAAUCAGAAAGCCACGGCUAACUACGUG